CAGUGGGGAANUAGCGCGGUGGUCCCACCUGACCCCAUGCCGAACUCAGAAGUGAAACGCCGUAGCGCCGAUGGUAGUGUGGGGUCUCCCCAUGCGAGAGUAGGGAACUGCCAGGC
rnacentral:rRNA from 1 species